rnacentral:rRNA from 1 species
GACAGAGGGUGCAAACGUUGUUCGGAAUUACUGGCGUAAAGCGCGUGUAGGCGGCUAAGUAAGUCGGGCGUGAAAUCCACGGCUCAACCGUGGAAGUGCACUCGAAACUGCAUAGCUAGAGUCCUGGAGAGGAAGGUGGAAUGCUUGGUGUAGAGGUGAAAUUCGUAGAUAUCAAGCGGAACACCGGUGGCGAAGGCGGCCUUAGCUGG